rnacentral:lncRNA from 1 species
UAUUAAUAACCAAGACUCGUGCCAAUGACGUCACCAUAUUGAUAUCACCUUGCAGAUCAGUGAUCAUAUAUAUUUUUUAUUUUGCGCAUUCCCUAUUGGUUCAUAUGAUGCUUGUGGCAUCAUAUGUAAGAACUAAGGGUAAAUAAGUUGUGUUGGGGUUAUUACGCACCCCAAGGGAGGAUUAUAAGGAUACUAACGGAGGAUGAAUGAGUUCGGGCUAUGCAAACGCCCUUAGCGGCAAUGAUGGCUUCCAGGUGGUGGCGGAAGGCCUUGCACCUGCUGUAGACGGAUGUAGACCUCUGUCAUGGCGUCCUAGUGUUAACUGAUAGUGGCUUAGAGGCCCUCAGUGAUUGGAUGAUAGACACUGAAGGACUAGACAUGCACACAAAAGUUGUAGUCGACGGGAUUGGCAUCAGGGCUGUAGGAUGGCCAAAUGUGUAAAAAAAAAAGUUCAAAAUAGUAUUGCAAACAGGUUUGCAGAUUCGGAGUCGUUGCCAUUUUUUGUGGAGUUGGAAAAUUUGAACAAACUGCAACUCCGGCUACAAAAAUUAUUAUACUUUGUGUAAAUAAAAGUUAUUUAUAGUCUAAGGCUUA